rnacentral:tmRNA from 1 species
GGGGGUGUUCCGGAUUCGACUUGCGAAUUCAAGGGACGGUAAGCAUACCGAAGGCUCGACUUCGUAAAAACGGGAAAUAAAAAAGAACUGACAACGAAAGUUAUCAAUACGCUGCCGCAUAAGCGGGCAGCCGUCGGACCUACUUCCUGCGCGUAGCAAUCCGGCGUGGUUUAGCAGGGAACAGAGUCGCAUCGCGCCCGAGGUGCGAAACGGAAUACAGGGCUGAGUCAAAGCGCGUUUUGUAAGCUGAGUACGCGGCGACAAGAAAUUUCAACUUACUAAGUAUGUAGAAAGCCGUUCGGUGGACCGUAAGAACAGGGGUUCAAAUCCCCUCACCUCCACCA